UUUCUACUAUUUUCAAUCACACUUUUACUUUUUAUAAAUCAUAAUAUCUUCUUAAAUCUGACUUUAGUUUAUCGGAACCAAUCCAACCCCAAACUUUCACUAACAAGAGUUUCAAUUUGGGUUUGCUUUAUUCACAUACUACAACAUAUUUCAAUCAUUUGCCAGAUUAGGCAAUAGUGAUGAAGCAUUGGUAGCUAAGGCAUCAACAUUUUCGAUGAUGGCUACUUUGAUUGUAGGCCAGUAUUGACGAUCGAUAUGAGGUGUAUUCUGCGCUGUAUGAUAAUAAUAUCAAUUAAAUAAAUUGAUAGAAACGUAAUGUUGGAUAUGUCCAUUUCAUUUGAGUUGUAAUAUAUUUGGUUUUUAACAAUUAUAUAGAUGUUGCGGUUGCUUAAUCUUAUGUCCAUUCGUUUUCGCUGUUGUCCAGUCCAUUUCAUCUACCUACAUCCACUGAUUGUUGCCAAAUGAUUCUAACUUUCUAAGCUUAAUAAUG
rnacentral:lncRNA from 1 species